rnacentral:rRNA from 1 species
CUUAGUGGCGGACGGGUGAGUAACGCGUGGGGAUUUGCCCUAGAGUGGGGAACAACAUUUGGAAACGAAUGCUAAUACCGCAUACGCCCUUUUGGGGAAAGGCUUCGGCCGCUCUUGGAUGAUCCCGCGUCUGAUUAGCUUGUUGGUAGGGUAAUGGCCUACCAAGGCGACGAUCAGUAGCUGGUCUGAGAGGAUGAUCAGCCACAUUGGGACUGAGACACGGCCCAAACUCCUACGGGAGGCAGCAGUGGGGAAUAUUGGACAAUGGGGGAAACCCUGAUCCAGCAAUGCCGCGUGAGUGAUGAAGGCCUUAGGGUUGUAAAGCUCUUUUACCCGGGAUGAUAAUGACAGUACCGGGAGAAUAAGCUCCGGCUAACUCCGUGCCAGCAGCCGCGGUAAUACGGAGGAUCCAAGCGUUAUCCGGAAUCAUUGGGUUUAAAGGGUCCGCAGGCGGAUUUAUAAGUCAGUGGUGAAAGCCUACAGCUUAACUGUAGAACUGCCAUUGAUACUGUAAGUCUUGAAUUCGGUCGAAGUGGGCGGAAUAUGUCAUGUAGCGGUGAAAUGCUUAGAUAUGACAUAGAACACCGAUAGCGAAGGCAGCUCACUAGG